rnacentral:rRNA from 1 species
CUACCCAUGAGCAGGAUGAAGCGAAAGUAAAAUUUCGUGGAGGUCCGAACCCACGAGCGUUGAAAAGCUCGGGGAUGACUUGUGGGUAGCGGUGAAAUUCCAAUCGAGCCCGGAGAUAGCUGGUUCUCCCCGAAAUAGCUUUAGGGCUAGCCUCAAGGUGAGAGAUACGGAGGUAGAGCACUGAAUGUCCUAGGGGGUAUUGCACCUACCGAAGACUAUCAAACUCCGAAUGCCGUCAUCUUAUACUUGGGAGUCAGACUGUGGGUGAUAAGAUUCAUAGUCGAAAGGGCAACAGCCCAGAUCGUCAGCUAAGGUCCCUAAAUGUAAGUUAAGUGGUAAAGGAUGUGGGAUUGCACAGACAACCAGGAUGUUGGCUUAGAAGCAGCCACUCAUUCAAAGAGUGCGUAAUAGCUCACUGGUCGAGUGAUCCUGCGCCGAAGAUUUCCGGGGCUAAAACUUACUACCGAAGCUACGGCAUCAGUAAUGAUGGGUAGGGGAGCUUCCCAUACGGGUUGAAGCAUGACCGUAAGGACAUGUGGACAGUAUGGGAGUGAGAAUGUUGGCAUGAGUAGCGAGAUGUGGGUGAGAAUCCCACAGGCCGUAAACCCAAGGUUUCCAGGGGAAGGUUCGUCCGCCCUGGGUUAGUCGGGACCUAAGCUGAGGCCGAAAGGCGUAGGUGAUGGACAACAGGUUGAUAUUCCUGUACUACCGAUAACCAUUUGAGAGAAGGGAUGACACAGUAGGAUAAGCUAAGCACACUGUUGGUUAUGUGUGCCCAAGCAUUGAGGCAGUCAAAGUAGGCAAAUCCGCUUUGAUAAUGCUGGGAUGUGAUGGGGAGCGAAAUUUAGUAGCGAAGUAGCUGAUUUCACACUGUCAAGAAAAGUCUCUAUCGAGGUUAAAGGUACCCGUACCGCAAACCGACACAGGUGGGUGAGGAGAGUAUCCUAAGGCCAGCGAGAGAACUGUUGUUAAGGAACUCGGCAAAAUGACCCCGUAACUUAGGGAUAAGGGGUGCCACCAUCAGGUGGCCGCAGAGAAUAGGCCCAAGCGACUGUUUACCAAAAACAUAGGUUUCUGCUAAGUCGCAAGACGAUGUAUAGGAGCUGACGCCUGCCCGGUGCUGGAAGGUUAAGGGGAUCUGUUAGAGCAAUCGAAGCAGUGAACUUAAGCC